GUGUUGACUUUACAGAUACCGAAAAACAACAGCUUUGUCAGGCAGCAUAGUCUUCAAAUGUGACUGCCCAAAUGUGGAUAUUUCAGCCCACUUCUAACUUGAGAAAACACCUUGCGAACUUCACCAAUGUCAUUCAGCGACCAGGCAAAUCCAGCAUUGGAGAUCAACAGAAUUCCUUGGAUUCCUUUUCCUGGACCCGGACACAGGCAACAGCUAAGAAUGUGGAGUGGGGGUCCCAUACAGAGACCAAUAUUGGAAGAAGGAGUAGGCCCACCAAAUAAGGCCCCAGCACCUGUCUCCAAUCAGCCUCAUUACCACCGGUAUUUAAGCCUGCCUGCCAGGAAAUCCUCGCCAAAGUAUUGCACCCUCUCCUAGCGUGCUCCCCUGUGUUCCUGACCCACGUCAUUCCUGCCACCAAGCUAGCCGCCUGUUCUGUCCUCUGCCUGCCAGCUGUCCACGCCACCUCCAUAACCUUUCCUCAAUAAACUGUUCAUCAUUUUACAUCUGUCUCCGCCUGCUCUUGGGUCCAGCUACUCCCCACACGUGACAAUUUAUUUCCCCACACGUGACAAUUUUUUUUUAUUUGAAAAGGGGCCACUUCCAUCUGAGUGUCUUUGCCACACGCACCCUAAUAAUCUCACAAGCUCAACACGCAACUAUAACAAAGCUAUACAGUGCAUACAUUCAAAUCAAUUUAAGCGCUAGUGACAUUUAAGUCAUAGUUUACCAAUCAAAUGACACAAGAAAGUCACAUGACCUCACACGUCUUCCAUUGGGCUUCCCGGACAUAGGUAUUCACACUAGAUAAAGCUGCCCUGCUCAUCGUCGUGCCUAAAUGGCCACCAUGUUGGGAAGGUCGUCGUUACCAUGAAAGCAACGGCACGCUACUUACAAAACAAAAACAACAGCUUUCAUGUAUUGUGGUAUUUGUCUGGUAUUGUCUGCCCAAACGUGGAUAUUUCAGCUCACUUAUAACUAGAAAAAACAGCAGAUUGCCAAUGUUUUUGUGGUUGAUUUAUUUUAUUUUUUUUAUUAUGAUUGUUUGUGCUAUUUACUCAGUACUUGAGUAAUUAUUUCACUGUGAACUUUUUACUCUUACUCAAGUAAUUUUUGGGAGGACUACUUUUUACUUUUACUUGUCACAUUACGUGUAACAGUACUCUUACUUGAGGACAAUGUUUGGCUACUCUACAUACCUAUGGAGCAGAAAUCCUCUAUUACACUUACGUUUAAGCAACAUUGUUGCUCAUCAGAUCAGCCAGUGUGGUAUUUGUUGCACUGGUCUUUUUGUAUUCUCACGUUGAGGUGCUGCGGGUCGUGAGCACCUCAAGAAAUUUAACACUAUAUUGUAAAAUAUGAAUAUAAAAAUAGAAUAAAGCAAUAAAAUACAAAGUAAAGAAAUAAGCUGGUUGUAUAGCGACGCGGCCAAGUAAGUGAUGUCAGAAGUCCCGAGUCAGUCAUUAUUAUGCUCCUAUU